GGGUGAGUAACACGUGAGUAACCUACCUCUUGGCGAGGAAUAAUCGCCCGAAAGGGCGUCUAAUACCUCAUAAGACCACGGGAAGUUCGCUUCCUGGGGUAAAAGAUGGCCUCUAUACAUACGCUAUCACCGAGAGAUGGGCUCGCGGCGCAUCAGCUAGUUGGUGAGGUAAUGGCUCACCAAGGCAGAGACGCGUAGCUGGUCUGAGAGGAUGAUCAGCCACACCGGAACUGAGACACGGUCCGGACACCUACGGGUGGCAGCAGUGGGGAAUAUUGGACAAUGGGCGCAAGCCUGAUCCAGCAACGCCGCGUGAGUGAUGAAGGCUUUCGGGUCGUAAAGCUCUGUGGGGAGGAGCGAAAAAGUCUAGCCUAAUACGCUGGAUAUUGACGGUACCUCCUUAGCAAGCACCGGCUGACUCUGUGCCAGCAGCCGCGGUAAUACAGAGGGUGCGAGCGUUGUUCGGAAUUACUGGGCGUAAAGCGUGUGUAGGCGGCUUGCUAAGCUUGAUGUGAAAUCUUUGGGCUUAACCCAAAAACUGCAUCGAGAACUGGCAAGCUAGAGUCUAGGAGAGGGCAGUGGAAUUCCUGGUGUAGAGGUGAAAUUCGUAGAUAUCAGGAGGAACACCGGUGGCGAAGGCGGCUGCCUGGACUAGUACUGACGCUGAGACACGAAAGCGUGGGGAGCAAACAGGAUUAGAUACCCUGGUAGUCCACGCCGUAAACGAUGAGCACUAGCUGUCGCGGGUAUUGACCCCUGCGGCGACGCAGAUAACUCCUUAAGUGCUCCGCCUGGGAAGUACGGCCGCAAGGUUAAAACUCAAAGGAAUUGACGGGGGCCCGCACAAGCGGUGGAGUAUGUGGUUUAAUUCGACGCAACGCGAAGAACCUUACCCAGCCUUGACAUCCUCGGAAGUCGCCAGAGAUGGUGAUGUGCCCGCAAGGGAGCCGAGAGACAGGUGCUGCAUGGCUGUCGUCAGCUCGUGUCGUGAGAUGUUGGGUUAAGUCCCGCAACGAGCGCAACCCACGUCUGUAGUUGCGACCACUUAGGGUGAGCACUCUACAGAGACUGCCGGUGUCAAACCGGAGGAAGGCGUGGACGACGUCAAGUCAUCAUGGCCCUUACGGCUGGGGCCACACACGUACUACAAUGGGCAAUACAAAGGGCAGCGAACCCGCGAGGGGGAGCAAAUCCCAAAAAGUUGCUCUCAGUUCGGAUUGGAGUCUGCAACUCGACUCCAUGAAGCUGGAAUCGCUAGUAAUCGCGGAUCAGCAUGCCGCGGUGAAU
rnacentral:rRNA from 1 species